rfam:Chloroflexi bacterium RBG_19FT_COMBO_50_10 rbg_19ft_combo_scaffold_215, whole genome shotgun sequence.
GCCCUCAUAGCUCAGACGGUAGAGCACAUUCUUGGUAAGAAUGGGGUCAUGGGUUCAAAUCCCAUUGAGGGCU